rnacentral:rRNA from 1 species
AUACGUAGGGUGCGAGCGUUGUCCGGAAUUACUAGGCGUAAAGAGCUCGUAGGUGGUUUGUCGCGUCGUCUGUGAAAUUCCGGGGCUUAACUCCGGGCGUGCAGGCGAUACGGGCAUAACUUGAGUACUGUAGGGGAGACUGGAAUUCCUGGUGUAGCGGUGAAAUGCGCAGAUAUCAGGAGGAACACCGGGGGCGAAGGCGGUAGUAUGGGCAGUACCCGUCGCUGAGGUGCGAAAGCUGGGAUAGCGAACAGGAGUAGAUACCCUGAUAGUCCAUGCUGGAAACGGUGGGCGCUAGGUGUAGGGGCCUUCCCCGAUUUCUGUGCCUUAUCUAACGCAUUAAGCGCCCCGCCGGGGGAGUUCGGCCGCAAGGCUAAAACUUAAAGGAAUUGACGGGU